rnacentral:tRNA from 1 species
AUGGUAUUUAGUUUAAAAGAAAAUAAAUGAUUUCGACUCAUUAGACUGUGAUCAAAUUCACAACUACCAA